CCCGGAGGCUCUUCAGUAUCCUUCCUGAUGGCAGCAAACUGAAGACGCUGUUGAAGGGAUGAGUGGAGUCACCUGUAAUGGAGAGGACCUUCCAGAUAGAACCCAGUGCAGGAGUCAUACCACACAGUGAUGCAGCUGGUGAGGAUACUCUCAACUGUGCCUCUGUAAAAGGUGCUCAUAAUGGGGGUUGAAUCUCUUGUGCUUCUCAGUUUGCAGAGGAAGUAGAGUCGCUGUUGGUCUUCUCCACAUUCAGGGACAAGUUGUUGUUGCUGUACCACUCUGGCAGUUGGAUUUGAAGAAGGUGGGGGGCCAACUUCACUCACAUAGGUUAAAGCUGCUACCACAGCGAGAUUUGAUCGGUGAAGAGGGAGAGUGAGCUCAGAAAAAGUGAUAUUUUUUACUGUAACAACCACAAACAUGUUUAAUGAUCAUAUUUCAUAACUUUAAAUGCAAAUAUAAAUUGUCAAUUUUAAAACCAUAUGCACAAGUUUUGCAAACAACAAAGUUGUUUGCAUCCAUUUACACCUUCAACCCUUUUUUAAAUAACCAUUUACAGAACAAUCAGCUGUUCUUCAAUAAGAUGCCACAAAUUAUUUGUGCCACUCCAGAUAUUUCUGUCCACUAUAAAGGAAACAUCACAGCCUGAUACCUGCAGGUCUGACAGCAGCAGGUGUAUCACUCCUGUUUCUACCUGGAGACAGCAGUCGCAUCAUUGUUCUGACACACAACACAAAACUAUCCACAACACUACACACUAACUACACAACACUACACACUAACUACACAACACUACACACUAACUACACAAGACAACACAUUAACUACACACUGCAAACACGCUAAACGUCACAAAUCUCUCACAUCUCAUGAGAGAGAGAGAGCGUACGCUUAUGUUUUUGGUUUGCUCAUAAGCAGAGCGUGCUCGCUGCGCUGUCCUUAGACAGUAAACGUGACGAAACUAUUGAGGAAAAAACGCCGCGUAUAUAUUGUUUAUCAUGACUCUGGUUUUACGUGGCCGAUCAACACAGUUUAUAAACUGGUAUAUGUCACCUUGUUGCUUUGUCUUUAAGUGGUCAUGUGAUUGUCUUAUCACGACUACUUUAUUCUUCCUCAGUCAAACAGCAGCACUCAUGCGAUUGUUUCGCCCCAUGAGCUCCAGGUGUUGUGCCAGAAAGUGCUCGUGAUCACCGUCCGUGGGAGCGCAGCUGCUUAAAGCCGUAGCGUCUAGAUUACUUACAGCUACUUCCGUGCAACUACAAGUAACGGCCGUUAGUAACGCCGUUACUUGUAACGCUAUCCCUGAAUACCACACAUACUGGGACUUACAUAACUGACCUGGUAUGAAACCGAUGAAACUGAAUCAAAUCCCCUUUGCCCUGGGUUAGAGCAAAGGUACACUAACC
ensembl:lncRNA